UACGAAGGGGGCUAGCGUUGCUCGGAAUUACUGGGCGUAAAGGGCGCGUAGGCGGAUAUUUAAGUCGGGGGUGAAAGCCCGGGGCUCAACCUCGGAAUUGCCUUCGAUACUGGAUAUCUUGAGUUCGGGAGAGGUGAGUGGAAUGCCGAGUGUAGAGGUGAAAUUCGUAGAUAUUCGCAAGAACACCAGUGGCGAAGGCGGCUCACUGGCCCGGUACUGACGCUGAGGCGCGAAAGCGUGGGGAGCGAACCGG
rnacentral:rRNA from 1 species